AGAACGAACGCUGGCGGCAGGCUUAACACAUGCAAGUCGAACGCCCCGCAAGGGGAGUGGCAGACGGGUGAGUAACACGUGGGAACAUACCCUUCGGUACGGAACAACUCGGGGAAACGCGAGCUAAUACCGUAUACGCCUUGGCGGGGAAAGAUUUAUCGCCGAAGGAUUGGCCCGCGUCCGAUUAGCUAGUUGGUGAGGUAAUGGCUCACCAAGGCGACGAUCGGUAGCU
rnacentral:rRNA from 1 species